rnacentral:rRNA from 1 species
GGUCAAGUGAAGAAGCGCAUACGGUGGAUGCCUUGGCAGUCAGAGGCGAUGAAAGACGUGGUAGCCUGCGAAAAGCUUCGGGGAGUCGGCAAACAGACUUUGAUCCGGAGAUGUCUGAAUGGGGGAACCCAGCCAUCAUAAGAUGGUUAUCUUGUACUGAAUACAUAGGUGCAAGAGGCGAACCAGGGGAACUGAAACAUCUAAGUACCCUGAGGAAAAGAAAUCAACCGAGAUUCCCUUAGUAGUGGCGAGCGAACGGGGACUAGCCCUUAAGUGGCUUUGAGAUUAGCGGAACGCUCUGGAAAGUGCGGCCAUAGUGGGUGAUAGCCCUGUACGCGAAAAUCUCUUAGUCAUGAAAUCGAGUAGGACGGAGCACGAGAAACUUUGUCUGAAUAUGGGGGGACCAUCCUCCAAGGCUAAAUACUACUGACUGACCGAUAGUGAACUAGUACCGUGAGGGAAAGGCGAAAAGAACCCCGGAGAGGGGAGUGAAAUAGAUCCUGAAACCGUAUGCGUACAAGCAGUGGGAGCCCACUUUGUUGGGUGACUGCGUACCUUUUGUAUAAUGGGUCAGCGACUUAUUUUCAGUGGCGAGCUUAACCGAAUAGGGGAGGCGUAGCGAAAGCGAGUCUUAAUAGGGCGUCUAGUCGCUGGGAAUAGACCCGAAACCGGGCGAUCUAUCCAUGGGCAGGUUGAAGGUUGGGUAACACUAACUGGAGGACCGAACCGACUACCGUUGAAAAGUUAGCGGAUGACCUGUGGAUCGGAGUGAAAGGCUAAUCAAGCUCGGAGAUAGCUGGUUCUCCUCGAAAGCUAUUUAGGUAGCGCCUCAUGUAUCACUGUAGGGGGUAGAGCACUGUUUCGGCUAGGGGGUCAUCCCGACUUACCAAACCGAUGCAAACUCCGAAUACCUACAAGUGCCGAGCAUGGGAGACACACGGCGGGUGCUAACGUCCGUCGUGAAAAGGGAAACAACCCAGACCGUCAGCUAAGGUCCCAAAGUUAUGGUUAAGUGGGAAACGAUGUGGGAAGGCUUAGACAGCUAGGAGGUUGGCUUAGAAGCAGCCACCCUUUAAAGAAAGCGUAAUAGCUCACUAGUCGAGUCGGCCUGCGCGGAAGAUGUAACGGGGCUCAAACCAUACACCGAAGCUACGGGUAUCACGUAAGUGAUGCGGUAGAGGAGCGUUCUGUAAGCCUGUGAAGGUGAGUUGAGAAGCUUGCUGGAGGUAUCAGAAGUGCGAAUGCUGACAUGAGUAACGACAAUGGGUGUGAAAAACACCCACGCCGAAAGACCAAGGUUUCCUGCGCAACGUUAAUCGACGCAGGGUUAGUCGGUCCCUAAGGCGAGGCUGAAAAGCGUAGUCGAUGGAAAACAGGUUAAUAUUCCUGUACUUCUGGUUAUUGCGAUGGAGGGACGGAGAAGGCUAGGCCAGCUUGGCGUUGGUUGUCCAAGUUUAAGGUGGUAGGCUGAGAUCUUAGGUAAAUCCGGGAUCUUAAGGCCGAGAGCUGAUGACGAGUCAUCUUUUAGAUGACGAAGUGGUUGAUGCCAUGCUUCCAAGAAAAGCUUCUAAGCUUCAGGUAACCAGGAACCGUACCCCAAACCGACACAGGUGGUUGGGUAGAGAAUACCAAGGCGCUUGAGAGAACUCGGGUGAAGGAACUAGGCAAAAUGGCACCGUAACUUCGGGAGAAGGUGCGCCGGUGAGGGUGAAGGACUUGCUCCGUAAGCUCAUGCCGGUCGAAGAUACCAGGCCGCUGCGACUGUUUAUUAAAAACACAGCACUCUGCAAACACGAAAGUGGACGUAUAGGGUGUGACGCCUGCCCGGUGCCGGAAGGUUAAUUGAUGGGGUUAGCUAACGCGAAGCUCUUGAUCGAAGCCCCGGUAAACGGCGGCCGUAACUAUAACGGUCCUAAGGUAGCGAAAUUCCUUGUCGGGUAAGUUCCGACCUGCACGAAUGGCGUAACGAUGGCGGCGCUGUCUCCACCCGAGACUCAGUGAAAUUGAAAUCGCUGUGAAGAUGCAGUGUAUCCGCGGCUAGACGGAAAGACCCCGUGAACCUUUACUAUAGCUUUGCACUGGACUUUGAAUUUGCUUGUGUAGGAUAGGUGGGAGGCUUUGAAGCGUGGACGCCAGUCUGCGUGGAGCCAUCCUUGAAAUACCACCCUGGCAACUUUGAGGUUCUAACUCAGGUCCGUUAUCCGGAUCGAGGACAGUGUAUGGUGGGUAGUUUGACUGGGGCGGUCUCCUCCUAAAGAGUAACGGAGGAGUACGAAGGUGCGCUCAGACCGGUCGGAAAUCGGUCGUAGAGUAUAAAGGCAAAAGCGCGCUUGACUGCGAGACAGACACGUCGAGCAGGUACGAAAGUAGGUCUUAGUGAUCCGGUGGUUCUGUAUGGAAGGGCCAUCGCUCAACGGAUAAAAGGUACUCCGGGGAUAACAGGCUGAUACCGCCCAAGAGUUCAUAUCGACGGCGGUGUUUGGCACCUCGAUGUCGGCUCAUCACAUCCUGGGGCUGAAGCCGGUCCCAAGGGUAUGGCUGUUCGCCAUUUAAAGUGGUACGCGAGCUGGGUUUAGAACGUCGUGAGACAGUUCGGUCCCUAUCUGCCGUGGACGUUUGAGAUUUGAGAGGGGCUGCUCCUAGUACGAGAGGACCGGAGUGGACGAACCUCUGGUGUUCCGGUUGUCACGCCAGUGGCAUUGCCGGGUAGCUAUGUUUGGAAUAGAUAACCGCUGAAAGCAUCUAAGCGGGAAACUAGCCUCAAGAUGAGAUCUCACUGGAACCUUGAGUUCCCUGAAGGGCCGUCGAAGACUACGACGUUGAUAGGUUGGGUGUGUAAGCGCUGUGAGGCGUUGAGCUAACCAAUACUAAUUGCCCGUGAGGCUUGACCAU